GGGAGGGUGGUCUAGCUUGGUAUGAUACUCGGCUGGGGGCCGAGUGGCCGGGGGUUCGAAUCCCUCCCCUCCCA
rnacentral:tRNA from 1 species